AAUGAGCUUUUAAUUGUAUAGCGCUUCUCCACCUGCAAGGGAAUCAAAGCGCUUUGACACUGUCACUUCAUUCAACUAGUGAUGACGUAGCAGGAGCAGCCACGUGUGAUUCAGUAUAUUGCUCAAGGAUAUUUGGACAAAGUCACCAGAGUAGGAACUUAUAACCUUUGGGUUGCGAGACUACUACUUUACCACUGAGAAAUGCCACUCCAACCUGAAUAAGACUCCAGAGUCUGAUAAUGAAUGUUACCUGGUGUGAGGACGAUGACUGACAUGGUGAUGAGGGAGCAGACUACGAGGAUGACCAGUCAGGACUCGCACCUGUGCCGCACGACGUGUUCUGCACGGCAGGCGAGUGCUCUGACCACCGAGCCAAAAGCCCUGGCUAGCAGCAGCCUUAGCUGCCAGCACACCCACUUGAAGGGCAUCGGGAGAGAGGUUUCCACGCACCGCACACAACGGACCCGCGUGUACCCGUUACACCUUGCAGCAGCAAGGCUCAACCCUCCCCCAUCUGUUGUUGUUCAGUGUCAGUGAGUCAGCUGUGCUACACGAUGGCUGGAGGAGGUGAACCCCCCCCCCCCACCUCGAAGAAAACGGACCAGCAUGUGUAGUGUGUCUAGCAGUGGUAAAACAUGGCUAACGUGGCUAAUUAGCACUCCAAAUUAAUUUUAUUUAGAGUAUUUCUUUUUUUUUAUUAUUUAUUUAACUUAACCUUAUACUCAUAUCCCAUGGUUUUUUUUUGUAAACCAGAAAUCUCAAAAUAAAACAUUUUAGAGCUGUAAUUGCAAUACCGUGAUUCCGUGAUAAUUUUGCUUAAGGUUAUCAUACUGUCGGAAUCUCAUACCGGCAUAUUCCUACUCAAUGUAUUACCCAGCAAGCGAGUUGGAUUUGACCCUCAAAUCCAGCUUAACUGAAUCUAAGAAAUAGGGCUGUCAAAUUUAUCGCGUUAACGGUAAGUAAUUUAAUUAAUCACGUUAAAAUAUUUAACGCAUGCGCGGAACGACCCACUCAUGCAUUGCCGCAAACAGACUACAAUGGCGCCGUUUUAUGUACUGCAUAUUGAGAGUUAAGAGGCAGAUACAAGCGAGUGGACACAGGCAUUCAUUGGGGCCGCGCUAUUUAUUAGCAAAAUCUUCCACAACAAUUAUAUAUAUUGAGAAGAUAAGAGAAGAUAUAACAUUUGCAGCCACCACUGACAGCCAUGGUUGCCCAACUUCCAUUCAUGCAUUUGGGCAGAACAGUUAAGUCGCUUCAGAACUGAACUGUACAACAAAGCAAAGCUGUACUGAAAGUACAACAAAAAUGAUAUUCCUAUCUCUCAAAAAAAAAAAAAAAUGUUCACAAAAUGAAAAGCGCUCAAUGCAAAGAGAACUGGCAUUCCCAAUCAAAAUAGCUAUGCAAAAUAAUACUCAGACUUUGGUAAAACUCUAUUCAAACAUUUCGUUUAGCUCAACAAAUACACUACAUGGCAAUGUUUAGUCACAAUAUACAAACUCACAUUUGUCUUUUAAGAAGUCUUUCUAUCCGUGGAUCCCUUUCACAGAAAGAAUGUUAAUAAUUUUAAUGCCAUGUAUUGGAUUUAUUGUUAUAAUAAACAAAUACAGUACAGUAUGUUGAAUGUAUAUAUCCAUCUUGUCUGAUCUUUCCAUUCCAACAAUAAUUUACAGAAAAAUAUGGCAUAUUUUAAAGAUGGUUUGAAUUGCGAUUAAUUACGAUUAAUUAAUUUUUAAGCUGUGAUUAACUCGACUAAAAAUUUUAAUCAUUUGAAAGCCCAACUAAGAAAUACUCUAAAUUUGCAAUCAAGUGAUUCAUUGAUCAAACUGACUGCAGAAAGCAUGUUUGCACGAUCUGAUUAACGAUGGAACACACUUUGUGUGUGAUAUUGUCUGCUAUGACACUAAAAACAUGCAUGAUGCUACUUCAACUCCAUGUCUGAGAAUUGGUAUUAAUGGCAUCUACCACUCCAUAUGCUGUCCGUGACAAGAUGAAUUAAACCGCCCUCAUAUAAAUAUCUUAUCUUUGCAGUGUUUCUGCCCUCAAUUACUCAUAAAACCCUACAGGUGAAAGAUAUUCUACAAGUAAAUCUCGAUUGGAUAAACCCAUUAUGUAAUUAGAACUUUAUCUUUGGAAUAA